UACGAAGGGGGCUAGCGUUGUUCGGAAUUACUGGGCGUAAAGGGCGCGUAGGCGGCUUGAUAAGUUGGAUGUGAAAUCCCAGGGCUCAACCCUGGAAUUGCAUUCAAGACUAUCUCGCUUGAAUUCGGUAGAGGUUGGUGGAAUUCCCAGUGUAGAGGUGAAAUUCGUAGAGAUUGGGAAGAAUAUCCGUGGCGAAGGCGGCCAACUGGACCGACAUUGACGCUGAGGCGCGAAAGCGUGGGGAGCAAACAGG
rnacentral:rRNA from 1 species